AAGAAUUGGAGCAUAAUUGGACGUCAAAGCUGCCGAAACAAGCUAAGUAUGUGCACGAGGAAGCUGAACAUGGCUGUGUUGGUUUCAACACUAGCCGUGUUCCCAACACGGGCACUAACACGGCCGUGUUGGGUGCAUCAAACAUCAAAGAAAAAGAAGUUUUUAGGAAGCACGACCACAGAGAGUAACACGGGUAUAAACACCAGACUGUGUU
rnacentral:lncRNA from 1 species